CUGUACAAUGACUCUCGGCAACGGAUAUCUCGGCUCUUGCAUCGAUGAAGAACGUAGCGAAAUGCGAUACUUGGUGUGAAUUGCAGAAUCCCGUGAACCAUCGAGUCUUUGAACGCAAGUUGCGCCCGAAGCCAUUAGGUCGAGGGCACGUCUGCCUGGGUGUCACACA
rnacentral:rRNA from 1 species